GGACGGAAGGCGAGAUGGCAAGAAAGCGUCUCUUUGGCAGACUUCAUCAGCACCUGUGUGAGAGAAACAUCUCUUUUUCACCCCUCAAGUCAGUAAGAACCGAGAGCCUCGGGACCUCCAGAAGUCACCCUGGUGCUCUGCUGGUGCUGGCCAGGAGGAAAACCCUGGGCUGAUGACCAGAGACUGCUACACAGGACAGGGAGAAGCCACCAAAAUGGAAGUUUGUCCAAAAGACAAACUCUAGUUGGAAAUGCUUUUUAAUUCUUUUUUAUUAAUAAAUAUUUGCAAAACAUAAUCCAAAUGUUCAUCAAGGGGAGUGAUACAUAUCCAUAUCUCAGUCCUUUUUGCUUCCCAUCCCCCUGCCCUUCCUCUGUCUUCCUCCAUCCUCAGAUUCCCUUCCCAUCUCUGAAAUGUCUACCUUCCUGUUUUGUAUAAUUUAUCUUUUAUUUGGCUCUCUAAAUUAUUUAUACUUUGAGUUUCUCAUAUAAGAGAAACUGUGUGAUAUUUAACCUUCUGUUUGUGAUUUAUUUCACAUAGCAUUAUGGCCUCAAGCUGCAUCCAUUUUCCUACAAAUAACUCAAGUUAUCCUUCUUUGUGGCUAAGUAGUACUCCAUGGUGUACAUAUAC
rnacentral:lncRNA from 1 species